UACGUAGGUGGCAAGCGUUGUCCGGAUUUACUGGGUGUAAAGGGCGUGUAGACGGGAUGGCAAGUCAGAUGUUUAAUUUAUGGGCUCAACCCAUACUAGCAUUUGAAACUGUUGUUCUUGAGUGAUGGAGAGGAAAGCGGAAUUCCUAGUGUAGCGGUGAAAUGCGUAGAUAUUAGGAGGAACACCGGUGGCGAAGGCGGCUUUCUGGACAUUAACUGACGUUGAGGCGCGAAAGUGUGGGGAGCAAACAGGAUUAGAUACCCUGGUAGUCCACACUGUAAACGAUGGAUACUAGGUGUAGGAGGUAUCGACCCCUUCUGUGCCGGAGUUAACACAAUAAGUAUCCCACCUGGGGAGUACGGUCGCAAGAUUGAA
rnacentral:rRNA from 1 species